ensembl:lncRNA
GUUCUUUAAAAAUCAUGACAUGUUUAUGCAGAGUAAAACAAUUUUAGGUCAAUUUAGGACAGUCAGUGCCCCUAAAAUCUGUACUGCUGCAUCUGAUAGCAGCAAGUAACAAGAACAUCUUACAAUACCUACUAUAUAUAAAACCAAACCUUCAAAGCAUUUGACACAUAUCCAGCACUUUGAACAACAGCCUUCUUUAGCCCCUUGUUAGCAGUUGUGCUUCAAACUAACUCACAGUUUGUCUUUCAGAAGCCACAGCACUAGACAGAGGUAUGAUGAUGAUAACUGCUCCCAGCUGAGAUGCUCACUACAGACAGUUCUGGAGGACCAUGGAGAAUCCUGCUGAAGAGCAAAGCUGGUACCUAUACAAGAUUGACUCCUUACCUGAAGAACUUGCUGGCCAGUAGCCACACGGGUGCCACAAAUCAUUGUUUGUGAUCAUGGAGCCAAGCUUUGCAGCACCUAUCCAUCUGUGAACAAUCUUGAGCCCGUCUCUUCACCUUGACAAGUGGAUCUGGGAGAUGUAACCCUGGCCAUCAGUCCUGUCUCCAGCUCAGUUGAGUCCCAAUCCAGCAGACCAUGUGGCUAAGUCCCAAGGGACUUCAGCAUGUGCUUAAGGGCUCUGCUGGAUCAGUUCCUUUGCAACCAGUCC